rnacentral:rRNA from 1 species
CGGACGGGUGCGUAACGCGUAGGAAUAUACCUGGUAGUAGGGGACAACCCGGCGAAAGCCGGGCUAAUACCGCAUACGAUCUACGGAUGAAAGCAGGGGACCGCAAGGCCUUGCGCUAUCAGAUUAGCCUGCGUCGGAUUAGCUAGUUGGUGAGGUAAAGGCUCACCAAGGCGACGAUCCGUAGCUGGUUUGAGAGAACGACCAGCCACACUGGGACUGAGACACGGCCCAGACUCCUACGGGAGGCAGCAGUGGGGAAUAUUGGACAAUGGGGGCAACCCUGAUCCAGCAAUGCCGCGUGUGUGAAGAAGGCCUUCGGGUUGUAAAGCACUUUCGAUGGGGAAAAACAAGCCAGACCUAACACGUCUGGCCCUGAUGGUACCCAGAGAAGAAGCACCGGCUAACUCUGUGCCAGCAGCCGCGGUAAUACAGAGGGUGCAAGCGUUAAUCGGAAUUACUGGGCGUAAAGGGUGCGUAGGUGGUUUGUUAAGUCAGGCGUGAAAUCCCUGGGCUCAACCUGGGAACUGCGUUUGAUACUGGCAGACUCGAGUCUGGUAGAGGGUAGUGGAAUUCCGCAUGUAGCGGUGAAAUGCGUAGAUAUGCGGAGGAACAUCAGUGGCGAAGGCGGCUACCUGGACCAAGACUGACACUGAGGCACGAAAGCGUGGGGAUCAAACAGGAUUAGAUACCCUGGUAGUCCACGCCCUA